rnacentral:lncRNA from 1 species
UACGGCUCUGAUUUCUGACUGAACUAUGUCAUGAUUUCUUGGAGAAUGUUCAUGAUUCUUUUUUCUUCCUUCAGCAGGCUGGUGUUGGGAUUCCAUCCCUAGUGCUGAUGGUUCUAGGGAAAAGGAAGCGAUUUCAUUUUCUGAUUUAGAGCUUGCAGUGCUGUGUGCUUUGUUAUCAUCGGCACUUAGUGCUGAUCGUGUAUCUGGUCCAGCAUCACCCUCCAUUUUCUGGUCCGUUUCCCCUUUAUCUUCAGAUUCAUGUCUGUGUUUUUUCUCAUGUCUCUUGGUGCUUUGUUUUCCCAUAUCUUCAUGGAUACCAGUCAGAUAGGUAAGGUCCAGCAACACAGUAGCUGUCAGCCCACGAAAUCUUGCAACAUCAAAAGGCAGUGGUUCACAGGGCUCCAGAUUAUACAAUGGAGUAUCACUGAUAGUAAUCUCUGCUUCAUCCCACUGGACCUUAGCAGACGUACUGCCUUCCUUCACUACUCCAAGUAAAGUGGCAUGACGUCCAGUUUGCUUGUGUACACAUCGACCUCCAACUCUAAGUCCAGCAUCAACUCCACCAAUUACUGCUAAAACAGGCCACACCUCCACGCACAGCAUCUUCAGCUGCAAUUCUGAAAGGUCUGCCAGACCAUGCCUAUUAUGCUUGCCCUUCUCCUCCUCCUUAUUUUCUUUCUCCUCUCUCACCUCAUUCUCUUCUCG